GCUCUUCUGAUCUGCCCACAGCAGCCUCAGUCACCAUUAAGAGAUUAGGACAAAUAAACUAAAGAGAAGGAAUUUAUUUCCUAUUAUUGGCAUCAAAG